rnacentral:rRNA from 1 species
UCAGGACGAACGCUGGCGGCGUGCUUAACACAUGCAAGUCGAACGGAAAGGCCCUUCGGGGUGCUCGAGUGGCGAACGGGUGAGUAACACGUGGGUGAUCUGCCCUGCACUUUGGGAUAAGCCUGGGAAACUGGGUCUAAUACCGAAUAUGAUCAUGCUCUUCAUGGGGUGUGGUGGAAAGCUUUUGCGGUGUGGGAUGGGCCCGCGGCCUAUCAGCUUGUUGGUGGGGUAAUGGCCUACCAAGGCGACGACGGGUAGCCGGCCUGAGAGGGUGUCCGGCCACACUGGGACUGAGAUACGGCCCAGACUCCUACGGGAGGCAGCAGUGGGGAAUAUUGCACAAUGGGCGCAAGCCUGAUGCAGCGACGCCGCGUGAGGGAUGACGGCCUUCGGGUUGUAAACCUCUUUCAAUAGGGACGAAGCGCAAGUGACGGUACCUAUAGAAGAAGCACCGGCCAACUACGUGCCAGCAGCCGCGGUAAUACGUAGGGUGCGAGCGUUGUCCGGAAUUACUGGGCGUAAAGAGCUCGUAGGUGGUUUGUCGCGUUGUUCGUGAAAACUCACAACUCAAUUGUGGGCGUGCGGGCGAUACGGGCAGACUGGAGUACUGCAGGGGAGACUGGAAUUCCUGGUGUAGCGGUGGAAUGCGCAGAUAUCAGGAGGAACACCGGUGGCGAAGGCGGGUCUCUGGGCAGUAACUGAC